GACGAACGCUGGCGGCGUGCCUAAUACAUGCAAGUAGAACGCAGUUGCGAACGGGUGAGUAACGCGUAGGUAACUGCCUGGUAGCGGGGGAUAACUAUUGGAAACGAUAGCUAAUACCGCAUACUACCAGAUGGACCUGCGUUGUAUUAGCUAGUUGGUGGGGUAAAGGCUCACCAAGGCAACGAUACAUAGCCGACCUGGGCAGGUGGUCGGCCACACUGGGACUGGGACACGGCCCAGACUCCUACGGGUGGGAGCAGUAGGGAAUCGUCGGCAAUGGACGGAAGUCUGACCGAGCAACGCCGCGUGAGUGAAGAAGGUUUUCGGAUCGGAAAGCUCUGUUGUAGGAGAAGCGGUAUCUUAACAGGAAGGGACGGCUAACUACGUGCCAGCAGCCGCGGUAAUUC
rnacentral:rRNA from 1 species